rnacentral:rRNA from 1 species
CACGUAGGGCGCAAGCGUUGUCCGGAAUUAUUGGGCGUAAAGAGCUCGUAGGUGGCCUGUUGCGUCCGCUGUGAAAACUCAGGGCUUAACCCUGAGCCGGCAGUGGAUACGGGCAGGCUAGAGGUAGGUAGGGGAGAAUGGAAUUCCUGGUGUAGCGGUGAAAUGCGCAGAUAUCAGGAGGAACACCUGUGGCGAAAGCGGCUCACUAGACCACAACUGACGCUGAUGCGCGAAAGCUAGGGGAGCAAACAGG